rnacentral:rRNA from 1 species
GAUGAACGCUGGCGGCGUGCCUAAUACAUGCCAGUCGAGCGAACGGACGAGAAGCUUGCUUCUCUGAUGUUAGCGGCGGACGGGUGAGUAACACGUGGAUAACCUACCUAUAAGACUGGGAUAACUUCGGGAAACCGGAGCUAAUACCGGAUAAUAUUUUGAACCGCAUGGUUCAAAAGUGAAAGACGGUCUUGCUGUCACUUAUAGAUGGAUCCGCGCUGCAUUAGCUAGUUGGUAAGGUAACGGCUUACCAAGGCAACGAUGCAUAGCCGACCUGAGAGGGUGAUCGGCCACACUGGAACUGAGACACGGUCCAGACUCCUACGAGAGGCAGCAGUAGGGAAUCUUCCGCAAUGGGCGAAAGCCUGACGGAGCAACGCCGCGUGAGUGAUGAAGGUCUUCGGAUCGUAAAACUCUGUUAUUAGGGAAGAACAUAUGUGUAAGUAACUGUGCACAUCUUGACGGUACCUAAUCAGAAAGCCACGGCUAACUACGUG